ACUUGGACUCGUUUAAAAUUAUUUUAGUCUAUUGCCUAAACAGUUUUUAAAUCAUUUGACACUCAUCUUGACUUGUGUCAUGCAAGACAUCAUUGUUGAAUCACAAUCACCAUCAACCAUCACAGCUCAAAAAUGAUUGAAAAACAAAUUAUAUUACCCGUUAUCUAAUUCAACCAAAUCCAAAAAGAAAAUGUUUGGUAAGAAAACGUAACCAAUCGAGCAUUAUGCAAAUAUGGGGCAAAUAGCCGAAGAAAAAUCGUCAGUGAAAAUGGCCAAGAAAAGCUCUUCGACAGUCAAGAAGUCAUCAUCCGGAGGCACUAAGAAAUCGAAGGCCGUGGCGCAAGAAUCACUGAAUUUUUCUGACCCUAAAGUGCAAGGAGUGCUAUUAGUAGGACUACUGGCCGUAUUAGCCCUGGCCCUAUGGUUUGGCUUCACGCACGGUUGCUUGUCGCGCCGGCGGCGACGCCGACGCUCGUCCUGCUGUUAGAAAUACAAAACAUACUUAGAUUUGAACGUAGAGUCCAUACUUCGGUGCUGCUACCAGACGGAAAAAUUCUUCGUGCACAACGAACUCUGAAAUGACAGAAACGUAUCACUAAUUUUAAGACUUAUUGAUAUCUAAAUAACAGCAAUAAAAGUUAUAAAAUAAA